GGCCUUAUAUUCAUCAAUGAUAUUGGAUUGCAAAUCUAAAGGGGUAAGCUAAGCUUACUAAGGCUU
rnacentral:tRNA from 2 species